CACCUUUCACCUUUCACUUUUAGCUUUUAUUUUAUUAUUAUUAGUUUAUCAAAUCAAUUAAUAGUUUUUAUAUUUUAGGUAUUUAAAUUAAAUUUUUAACCUUUUCUUAGCCUAAUUUUAUAGAAUUCUUUUAGCCCAAUUAUAUUCUUGCAAGAAGCCCAAGACCUAUGACCCAUUUUUCCUUCUUCUUCAGCUUAUUACACAAGACAUAAAAAAAUAAACCCUAGCUAGACAAGACCAUCCAUGGCUUCCCUAUCUUCUUCAACCCUCAACAACAACAAAACCCUAAGCUGAACCCUAGACAAGUUACACUCUAAGCCGCCGCCGCGAGACCCAACCUCACACCCUUGCAGCACCGCUGCUCCUCCUCACCACCACAAAUAUCGCCGAAACCAGCCAUAACGACCAUCACCGCCCUAAACGACCACUCCUUCAUCCAUGGCUUCUUCCUCUUCUAACCUUGAACACCCCUGGGAUCCUCUUCAUCUUCAACCUCUAAACAUGACAAAAAGUUGAACCCCUUCAGCCGUGAACCAGCCUUCAAACGACCACCCUUAAACUACCAUAAAAAUUUACUCCAAUUAGCUACCAAAUCUAACCCAAGAUGACCCUAAAAACGACCCUAAAAACCUGCUAAAUAUCAGUUAAAAAAUAUAGCAAAAAUAGCUACAAACUAGAUCGAAACCAGCUUUCCUUCUUCUCAGAUUAGAAACACGUACACACACAAGAGCAUAGACCGCAGCAGUAAGAAACGGCUUCAAAUGAUUGGUUUUGUUUAAAUAUUGGAGUUGUUUGCGAGUCCAUUCGAGUUUGCCGCCAGCCGUUGGUUCCCGUCCGUGGUUCGUGGUAGUGUUCUUAAGGUCAUUUCAGUCUAUUAGUCGAGCUUGACUCACUGAGUUGGCUUGUAUUUGCUUUCGAAAGGAUUAAUAAAAUAGAUGAACAUCAUUUGGCAUUUUUCGAGUUUGGAUCGUUGUAGUUUUGCGAUAGAUGUCGCCAUAAAUUUAUAUGUUGCAAUUUUGAUAUUGCUUUAGUCAGGUUUAGCUUUGGUUAUAUAUCUUUGUGUUUGAGCUUUCGCCGAAUGAAACUCGCUGGUUCGAUCUCUACCGUUAAGCUCAUAUUGGAUUUAAAAUCAAAACGUGCUUGAGUUUGUUGAUUCGUGUUGGUUUUGGUUCGAGUUCAAGGAUUAAGUUCAGCUUAGAUCAAAGGUCAUCGCUCGGUUCAACUCUUCCACCCUUACUCCUUUUAUCUUAG
rnacentral:lncRNA from 1 species